rnacentral:rRNA from 1 species
AUUGAACGCUGGCGGCAGGCCUAACACAUGCAAGUCGAGCGGAUGAAGGGAGCUUGCUCCUGGAUUCAGCGGCGGACGGGUGAGUAAUGCCUAGGAAUCUGCCUGGUAGUGGGGGAUAACGUCCGGAAACGGGCGCUAAUACCGCAUACGUCCUGAGGGAGAAAGUGGGGGAUCUUCGGACCUCACGCUAUCAGAUGAGCCUAGGUCGGAUUAGCUAGUUGGUGGGGUAAAGGCCUACCAAGGCGACGAUCCGUAACUGGUCUGAGAGGAUGAUCAGUCACACUGGAACUGAGACACGGUCCAGACUCCUACGGGAGGCAGCAGUGGGGAAUAUUGGACAAUGGGGGAAAGCCUGAUCCAGCCACGCCGCGUGGGUGAAGAAGGUCUUCGGAUUGUAAAGCACUUUAAGUUGGGAGGAAGGGCAGUAAGUUAAUACCUUGCUGUUUUGACGUUACCAACAGAAUAAGCACCGGCUAACUUCGUG